rnacentral:rRNA from 1 species
GACAGAGGGUGCAACCGUUGUUCGGAAUUACUGGGCGUAAAGCGCGUGUAGGCUGCUUCGCAAGUCGGGUGUGAAAGCCCUGGGCUCAACCUAGGAAGUGCACUCGAAACUGCGAAGCUUGAGUCCUGGAGAGGAAGGCGGAAUUCUCGGUGUAGAGGUGAAAUUCGUAGAUAUCGAGAGGAACAUCGGUGGCGAAGGCGGCCUUCUGGACGGUGACUGACGCUGAGACGCGAAAGCGUGGGGAGCAAACAGG